ACACGGCCGACGCGGGUCAAAGUGUAGUAUCUGUACUUAUCAGCUUAAUGUCUGAUACGGAUUAUAUUUGGACCGAUGAUAUCAAACUUAUUUUUGUAAGUUGGCGGAAGUGCUUCAAGCCUACGGCACGCCCGCAGCGGGUCAGCCCGGUAUUGCACUAUCUUCGUGAUUUUUGGUCACCGGAC